rnacentral:siRNA from 1 species
CAUGCAAAUAGUAAGCUCUAUGAU